AUUGAACGCUGGCGGCAGGCCUAACACAUGCAAGUCGAACGAGUGGCGGACGGGUGAGUAAUGUCUGGGAAACUGCCCGAUGGAGGGGGAUACCAACUGGAAAAGGUAGAUAAUACCGCAUACCAUCGGAUGUGCCCAGAUGGGAUUAGCUAGUAGGUGGGGUAAUGGCUCACCUAGGCGCCGAUCCCUAGCUGGUCUGAGAGGAUGACCAGCCACACUGGAACUGAGACACGGUCCAGAAUACUACGCGAGGCAGCAGUGGGGAAUAUUGCACAAUGGGCGCAAGCCUGAGUCAGCCAUGCCGCGUGUAUGAAGAAUGCCUGCGGGUUGUAAAGUACUUUCAGCGAGGAGGCGUGACUCGCAGAAGAAGCACCGGCUAAAUCCGUGCCAGCAGCCGCGGUAAUC
rnacentral:rRNA from 1 species